rnacentral:rRNA from 1 species
UACGUAGGGGGGCAAGCGUUGUCCGGAAUCAUUGGGCGUAAAGCGCGUGUAGGCGGCUCGGUAAGUCCGCUCUGAAAGUCCAGGGCUCAACCCUGGGAUGCGGGUGGAUACUGCCGGGCUCGAGUCCGGAAGAGGCGAGUGGAAUUCCCGGUGUAGCGGUGAAAUGCGCAGAUAUCGGGAGGAACACCAAUGGCGAAGGCAGCUCGCUGGGACGUGACUGACGCUGAGAGACGAAAGCUAGGGGAGCGAAUGGG